AGCCCGACCCCGUCCGCCGCGGGGCUGCCCCGCCGCCCGGCCCUUCCCCGCCCGGCCCGGCGCCGCCCGGCCCGGUACCUCAUCAUGGUAGAGAUGAGCCCCACCUCACUACGCCCUCCUGGUUGGGGAGUUCUGGGGAGCAAUGAGGUCCCACACAGUGAUGCAGCCUUUAUUUGUCCCAGUGGCACACAGGAAUUCCAGGCACUGUCUCAUCAAGCACCCUCAGCAGAGCACAGUCAUUCCCCAGGCGAUGCAGGACAAGGCACAGAUGGGCAGAGCAUCCAUUUCCACGCGUGUUCUCCCUGUGUGGGGCAGCUCCCCCAGGGUGCUGCUGCUGUCCCAGCUCUAUGCCGAGCUUGGGGCAGCAGUGACUGGCAGAUAAAAAGGAGUUGAAGUCUAAAAAAUCACACAGACACUUCUCUAAACCUUCCACUGACUCUGUUGGGUUGAGGGAGGGAAUAGAAAAGUCCCCAGCACUGGCAAAGUUGGUGAGAGAUCAAUGUGUGUGAACAUGGAGCUUAGUCCAAAACGCAGAGAUCCUGCAAAUACAGCAAAUGAAGAGGGAGGAGUACAUGAGCCACACUCUGUUACUGGACUAGGCUUCAGUGACAAUAUCACAGAAGUUAGUAACUUCAAACUUGUCAAAGUAAUGGAUUGGAGUAGAGGGUGGUAAUGUCAGGAACACACAAAACCGAGAGUGGACAAGAAUUCCCAGUAAAUGGUUCUGCAGCUGACAAGCACUCCCAACCAAGGUUUUGUUGCCAUGGGGAAGUUCUCGCUCUCUCCUGACUCCAGCUGCACGUUGGCACCAGCGUUUUCCAGCCCAAUGUUUGGCCUGUACUGUUCUUACCAACGCUGGUGAGAAAAGGAAUGCUGUUUGAUUGCUCUGUGAGACAAACGGGUGCCCUGGGCACAGGAGCCCUUGUCCUGGAAAUCUGCUGCAGCACCCACUGCCCUUCUGCCAGCACAGCAAUCUCCAGCUGAAGAAGAUCCUACAGUAUGAGAGGCCAGGUUUAUGGCAAUGCAGAGUGGCCAGUGAGUGUAUUUUUGUCCUUAGAGGCUCAGUAAUGCAGAGUGCACCGCUGUGAGCUGAACAGGCACAGCCGUAAAGUGGCAGCUUGAAAUCAGAGUCUCGUAAUAACUUGUAAGUUAAUUUGGUCUUGUUUAUUUUUCUUCAUGUGAAAAAGUUUGGACUGUCAUGUAAUUGUGUGUAACUGAAAGCCAUUAUUUCCUGAAGUGUGACUCAGCUCUCUCUCACUGUUCCAUUCACAGCAGCCCUGUUUCAUGUCUCUUUGGAGGCACUACACGUGGUGUAGGAGGGCUGCUGUUAAGUCUGUCCUCAGUUGGGAAGGCUGAUGAAUUCAUUAUGUACUCCUGUUAUGUCAGUUUGUUAACUGUAUUGUGCCACUGUCAAUAAAACUCAUAGUCAAGGUC